GAUGAACGCUGGCGGCGUGCCUAAUACAUGCAAGUCGAGCGAACGGACGAGAAGCUUGCUUUUCUGAUGUUAGCGGCGGACGGGUGAGUAACACGUGGAUAACCUACCUAUAAGACUGGGAUAACUUCGGGAAACCGGAGCUAAUACCGGAUAAUAUUUUGAACCGCAUGGUUCAAAAGUGAAAGACGGUCUUGCUGUCACUUAUAGAUGGAUCCGCGCUGCAUUAGCUAGUUGGUAAGGUAACGGCCUACCAAGGCAACGAUGCAUAGCCGACCUGAGAGGGUGAUCGGCCACACUGGAACUGAGACACGGUCCAGACUCCUACGGGAGGCAGCAGUAGGGAAUCUUCCGCAAUGGGCGAAAGCCUGACGGAGCAACGCCGCGUGAGUGAUGAAGGUCUUCGGAUCGUAAAACUCUGUUAUUAGGGAAGAACAUAUGUGUAAGUAACUGUGCACAUCUUGACGGUACCUAAUCAGAAAGCCACGGCUAACUACGUG
rnacentral:rRNA from 1 species